rnacentral:rRNA from 1 species
GGGGGGGGGGGGGGGGGGGCUGAGGGCGGGCGGGGCGGGCGGGGGGGCCCUGCUGGGGUGGGGUGCUCGGGUGGCGAACGGGUGAGUAACACGUGAGUAACCUGCCCUUGACUUUGGGAUAACUUCAGGAAACUGGGGCUAAUACCGGAUAGGAGCUCCUGCUGCAUGGUGGGGGUUGGAAAGUUUCGGCGGGUGGGGAUGGACUCGCGGCUUAUCAGCUUGUUGGUGGGGUAGUGGCUUACCAAGGCUUUGACGGGUAGCCGGCCUGAGAGGGUGACCGGCCCCAUUGGGACUGAGGUACGGCCCAGACUCCUACGGGGGGCAGCAGUGGGGAAUAUUGCCCAAUGGGGGGAAGCCUGAUGCAGCAACGCCGCGUGCGGGAUGACGGCCUUCGGGUUGUAAACCGCUUUCGCCUGUGACGAAGCGUGAGUGACGGUAAUGGGUAAAGAAGCACCGGCUAACUACGUG